rnacentral:lncRNA from 1 species
AGCAUUGGCACCAGCCCAAUACUACAACUGCUGGCCCAAGUUAGCUGCACAAUCCAAGAGCCCAAGGGCAUUUGUAUAUUUAUUUGAGUGUAUAAUUCUGUAUAGAAGAAAAGGACACAAUUGUAAUUACACACACUACACUUUACAAUUUUCAUUUUAAUUGUAUAUACAGAGUUAGAUGGGGAACCUUCGAGACACGGUCAUUAAUUCAUUUCAAUCAGAAAUGCUCUUCAAUUUUCCUCUCUUCUCUCUCAUCGUCUACUGUUCUUCUUCUUCCUUGAUUUUUCUUUAAUCCGUGAAUUAAUAUGUUAACA